GUUCCCUGAGGCGGAGCGGGCGGGGAGGGCUCGGCGCCCCCUCAGCUGAGCGCGGGCCCCGCGGACCGGGGGAUGCGCCGGUAUCUGCGGUUGUUGCUGACAGCGAAGGACUUCCCCUCAAAGCUGUUUAAAUGAGAAUGUCCCUGGCGCAAAGAGUGCUGCUGACAUGGCUUUUUACGUUACUCUUCCUGAUCAUGCUGGUGCUAAAGUUGGAUGAGAAAGCACCAUGGAACUGGUUCCUCAUUUUUAUUCCAGUGUGGAUAUUUGAUACAAUUCUUCUAGUUAUGUUAAUUGUAAAAAUGGCUGGACGGUGCAAGUCUGGCUUUGACCCUCGCAAUGGCUCCCAGAACAUGAAAAAGAAAGUCUGGUACCUCAUUGCAAUGCUGCUGAAAUUGGCCUUCUGCCUAGCCCUGUGUGCGAAGCUGCAGCGAUUCACCACCAUGAAACUGGCCUAUGUGUUCAUCCCGCUCUGGGCCUUGCUGAUUGGGGGCAUGGUUGAACUUGGAUAUAAUAUCUUCUAUGUACGAAGAGACUGAGCUAUGCCAGAUGGUUUUCAGUGCCAAGACUGGCACCAGUUUACUAGAUUAUUACCAUUUUGCCACAAAUUGGAUCUUCAAACUAGAAAGCCAAAUGAGUCAAGCUGGAGACUUUAGCUAAAGCAGGCUGAAGACUGAAAGUAGACUUGUUCCAUUUUUUUUAUUUUAAAACUGUCACAUAUACUCUUGUAAAUAAAAGUAUUUGUUCAACAUAAGCUGUUCUAAUAUUACUGUUAUUUUUUACAUGGAAUAAGAUACAGGUUCUUCAUGUGCAGAUAGAAGAUUUUCUUAAAGAAACCACCAAUGUUCUACCCAGAGUAUUCAGCACAUUGCAUGAUACUAGGAAAGAGAAAUAACAUUUUCUGCUAUUCAUGCUUGAGAUUCCAUCACAAGCCUAAAAAUAAGCACUGUUUUCUAAGCUGCUUGAAACAGCCCAUAACCAGUAUGUUAACCUUGGGAACAUGGUUGGUAGCUGAACUGUGCCAGCAGUCCUGAGAUCCAGAGAAGAGGGAGACAGUGGUGAUUCUUUUCCAARUGAAAAAGCACCAGUGGUGCAAGAGACUGAUACCUGAAACUACAGGGUGAGUUCAGUACUGUGUUUGUACCUGACCAAAGUGGUGCUUGGACAAGGCAGUUUUAAUGCCUGAAGAUAGGAAAUUUUCAGGGAUGAAGCCUUAGCUUUGUGGGGUACUGGCAAACUCAGAUGUGAGUAAAUGACCUUUUCCAGGUAACAAGUGAAUGGGAUUUCUGGGAAGAAAUGGAACUGAGUGUAUUUUGUGGACUAAAGUGCUCUUCCAGGAGACACAGUAACACCAAAUUCAAAUGUAGCAGUUACCUGGGACAUAAUUAACAUGCACUCAAGGUACUGAUCCAUUUAUGGUCUAGGCACUGAAGAAUGUCAAGUGACUAAAAAACUAUCUAGGGUAACAGGGCAUGCCUAGACCAGUGUCUCACUAAUAAAAAUUUAAUUAUGUAUAUUCAACUGUACUUGUUUGGGGAAAAAAAAAAUCUUCCUGAACUGUUUGGAUUUACUCUUGCUGUUCAAUCACACAGAUAUGGGUAGAUGCAGAGGGGCCMUAUUGUGGGAGACUGCUGAAAGAGUUUUAUCUAAGAAAACAACACAUUCCAUUCUACAGCAAUGAAUCUCAAUUUAAAAUAUCAGGUUUUGAUGGAGUUUAUCUCCCAYAUGAGCCUUGUAGACCUGAACGGACCUGGAUGUCAGCUUGCUCUGAAAAGCAUCAGGCUUUGGAAGCAAAGGCAACUUAAGGAAUCUCUGCAGCUGGACCACUUGAGUACUGUUCAAUAUAAAUUCUCCUUUUUCUUGAACUGAAGUGGAAUAAAGAAUAGGAAAAUCUGCAACACAGUAAUGCCAUUCCCUCUGAUCUACCUUUCCUAACAAAACCAACAUCCCAAGAAGACAAAUGUAAGGAAAUGCUCCCUACAGUGCAGAACAACAACRUAAAAGCAAGAAACAGGGAAGCAAUGAGAACGUGAGCUUAGUUCAUCAGGGUUAAUUUUUAUCUGUGUUCCUUCUGAAGUUCAUAAAGAAAUCACUGCUAAAAAAUGUUUUUUAGUCUAAAAAUUUAAUUUCUGUGAUUAACUCAAACUCUCCUGUUCUUCAGUUUACACUGGCAAGUACCUGGGUGUUAUGGCAUGCUUAGGAAAAAUUUAGCAGUCUUAYGUUACAUAGUCUCCCCACACACAGGGCUAACUCUCAAGAUUUUCAUCUCCAGACACGAGGAACAGCUUUCUCUGCUAAGGGCCCCAUUUUAUCUCAACACAACUGGAUAAAAAAGCUCCCAUAAAAAGCACAGUCCUUAAAACAAAGGCCUGAGCUGCACCCAACAUGGUACCAUCAUUCCAGUGGAUGGCAAAUUAAAUGGUAAAAGAAAACAUAGUAUAUCAAAAUAGCUAUUGAAAAAUCAAACUUGAUAAAAAUAGAAGUUUAAACUGCUGUUUUAAUCAAUGCUUGUAUAAGAUAACUGUACACCAAAUAUUAAAGGACUAUUUAGGACUAACGCCCUCAUCAGUAGGCUCAUCUAUCAGCAUGACCAGAACAAGAGAAGAUCAAUGUUUAGCUGGCACUCAAGUACAGCACGGCUUCAAAGCAGAGAUAAUAUCAGCAUCAAAGCACAGAGAAAAACAGUGGUUAGAAUAUAAUACACUAAAUUUGCAAAGUCAGUAUCCCUGAUGAUUCUAACAGAAACAGCAACCUAAAUAUUGUGAAGUUAAUCACUGCUUCUGAACAGAACACAAAAUAACUUGCAUUUUUAAGAAAAAUGAAAUGAGUGACUGAUGGGAAUCAGUUCCCCAAAUAUUCCCACAUAUGCUGCAAAUUCAGUGGGAUCUGCACAAAAUAUCUGUAUCUUCUAUACAAUUUUAAAGUGCAUUUCAUCCAUUUAAGAAAGUAAUAAAAUAUCAGCUGAACACAGUGACUCGUAAUCAAAUAAAACAUUCUUGACAGUCAUUCACAGCAAAGCACAAAGCAGUGACAAUUUGUCCUUUCCAUUUCCAGCUUGGAUACAUCCAGGGUAAGGUACAGGCGCUGCGCUACCUAAAGACAAGGCUCUCUACGUACCUGACCACUAGAAGAAAAUAAAUAAAUGACACUUGAGAAGCUUGCAGAGUUCUUUGAUCUCUUGAUCAGAAUCAGUACAGCUUUCAGCCUAGCAGGGUCACAUGGCAGUGUACUAUCUCACAACAGUUCAUUUUGACAAUGAACAAGGAAAAAUCAUGGAUUUAUUUCCAUUAAUUCAGCAUCUUAUUCACAUGCAGAUAUUAGAAAACAGUCAUUUUGAUCAAUGAAUACCAGUCUUGUGUUUCUUGGAAGACUUACUCAAUUUUCCAAAUCUGUAAUGUUUAUAUCUCUUUCACAGCAUUCUACUAUUUCCRAUUUCCAUUUCCUAUAUCUUUUGCAAUUCCAACUUAUUUACUGUGCACAUGUAUAUCCACUUAAAAAUCAACUUUAUUUAUCGCCAGGGAAUUCUUUCACAGAUGAAGAAUUAAAUCAUCACCCUCUAAAAUAAUACUUUAUUUCUAAUACUAGAUAGAAUUAAUAUUUCAGUUAAAGUAGUAUUGAAAUAUUAACUAUAAUAACAAGGAAGGGAAAAUCUGCAUGCCAGCAGUACCUGUAAUGAAAAUGUUCUUUCAGAAUCAAUUUUCAGGUAUUUGGAGGGCUGGGGGUGACACAACACUGAGUAACACUUGUAUGUAACACAUGAAGUCAGUCGCCAGUGAAAUGCAAAAGAUCCAGUAAUAUCAAAAGAAAAAAAGUAGCUACCCCCUUGAAAGCUCCUGUAGCAACUGUAACAAUGCAAUUCUUUGCUACCCACAAAUAUGUACCAGGAUCUAAGGAAACAUCUAAAUUUCUGCACAUCAUGUCAUUAACUGGAAUACCACUGCACGUGCAGGGAGAUAGGAACAUCACCAAUGGCCUCAGGCAGAUAUCUCCGCUCUGAACAAGAACAAGGGCCAAGACAGACAACCAAAAUACUGGAGAUUUCAGCCAAAAUAACAGAAGAUUUAUAAAUCACCAAAAUCCAGAGAAUUGAGAAAAUCAAUAAGCAAGGASUAAUUUCAGUACAGCAGAAUGCAUGGAAGAUUUAUUGCUGAAGCAAAAGUCUGAAGAGGAAGUCGUACGCAGCAGGAAUAAAGGCUGUGGGACAGGACUGAAGCAAGACCUUUGUCAGACUAAUGAACAAUUUGGGAGGUGAAAUUCUCAGAAAAAGUACUCCCCUCUCGAAGGAAAACCUCAUUAAAAUGAACAUACCACAGGGAGAGGACAAYUUUUUUUAAAUCGUUUCUUUAAAAAGCAAGUAAAAAGUAAACUGUAAUGCAGCCAAUCAGCCCAGACUGCUGACACCUGUAAAUGCAACGGGAGAUCUGGUAGCCAUUGAUAAUCCCAGUAUGGUUCAAAUUCUGUCUGCAAGGAAUUCUGCCUAAAGUGCGAAUCUAGUCUGUCUCAAAAAACCAAAAGAAUGCCUAAAAACUGG